GUGCCUGUAGCUCAGGGGAUAGAGUAUUGAACUCCGGAUUCAAGGGUCACAGGUUCGAAUCCUGUCAGGCACACCA
rnacentral:tRNA from 1 species